GGGGGGGGGGGCGCCGACUCACUCAGAAAAGCGCAUCGAUCGGGCCUGCGAUCCCCCAGGAGGCGGCUCCCGAGCGGCGCGGCGCGCCUGGCCUCGUCGCGUCCCGCCCGCGCGCGGCCAGCCCCGACGCCGCGGGCAUCAAAUGCCACCAGCCGGAGGCGACCCAGAUUCCGCCCGGAGGACGCGAGGCUGCGUGCCUUUCGGAGCGGGAGCGCCGGAACAAGUCCCGACACGCGAGGGGCGAGCGGGGGCGGGCAGGAAAUUCUAGAACAUGGAGAAGGAAGCUGUGGGGAUAGGACCAGUCCCCUUGGGGAAUUCAGGUGGUUUUCCAGGGAAAAGUCAACCUGGAAAGAGCUCUGCAGUCACCCCAGCUGGACAAAUGUGCUCCAAGGCCUCAGCUUCAGAGCCACCUCCCCUCCAGGACCCAUCCCUCCUGAGGCCCAAGUACUGUCCUGAGAUGGAGAGAGCUUCCAGAAGGAAGAAGAGCGUCACUGCCCCACCGGAAAGGCCCGGGUCCUCAGCUGCCCUUCCGAGCCCUCUCCUCGGCGCCUGGAGUGAACCCCGGGCUCAGUGAACACUUGCUGGCAUGUGUGAGGAAUGCGAAAAUUAUCAUCAGAUAAAACCAACGCGUACAUUUCACUGUCAAUAAAACUGGAAAACAUCCAAACAGAGCCCCUUUGGUGCCAUGAAAGAAAAGUCAACGUUUCCUACGUUAACGAUGAGGGAAGGGCUCCUGCUCCCAUCUCAUGCCGACCUGAGUUUCUUUCAUAAUUUGAGACCGACAUGUAAACAGGCACACUCUGGCCUUGCUCCAGACGUGUUGUGUGUAUUUCUGGGGUUUGUUUCUUUUCCUUUCUCUGGUUGUUUUUAAUUCGUUUUUCUGUUUUGUUUUGUUUUAAACAAAAACGAUUGGAAAACAGAUGGGGGAAGAGAAUUGCCAGAAGGAAGAUGGCCCCAGAGGGUCAGAAAAGGGAUGGGCCGCCAGCCCCCGUUGACUCCCUGUUGGAUGGCCCCACCCUCAAACAUCUAAAAAGAUUUAAAAAAAGAAAAAAGAUGCCAAGGGAUUAAAAAAAACCAACAAAAAACCCUCCUCUGUCCCCCAGGCCUCCAGGACGCUAAGCCAGCUUGCAAGUGGAUGGCCGAGAGGAAAAGCCAGUAGAGGCAUCUUAGAGGAGCAGGAAGGUGUAACUCCGGGAACCAGAAUCCCACUUGACAGCGGUUGGUGGGCUCGUUUCCUGGAGACAGUUGCUCAGAAUAAACCAAAAAGAAAAGAAGAAAGAAAGAAAGGAGGAAGAAGGUUUGGCUUUCUCCUGGUCAAGUCCCUCCCUUUCUUGAACUGACAGAACACUCUCCAGGAAAAUAGGGCUCCGGUAUAAAUGGCUUGUGUAGCACAUUCCGGGUUUCCGUUAGGACAACUUGCCUCCAUAGGAAAGAGGGGGAUCUUUACAGCAAGUAAUUAACCCCGUGGCAUGGAAAUACAGUUGAGUUUUUAGAAUACGGUACAGCCAUAAAGAACAAAUUAGGAUUAGACCUCCUAAGGCUGUCACUUAUCCAUGAGAGGAUAAGAGCCACCUAUCCAGAUGAAGGGCCCAAGACAGUCCCCUGCUAUAAACGAGUAUUAAAUUUUUCAUUACCAUCCUAGCUAAUAAACACCCUUUCUGAGCAAGGGAGGAGCAAAGAGCCUUCCAUUUUCCCUCCGCCAGUUAACAUCAGAAAGGGGGUACCAUACUUCACUGAAUCCUGAAAGCAUAUCGUUUAUGUGUUAACAGCCACUUUUAAAACGAAACCUGCCCUAAAAAUAGGUAGACAGUAAAUUUGCCUUUUUUUCUCGAA